rnacentral:rRNA from 1 species
CCUACGGGAGGCAGCAGUGAGGAAUAUUGGUCAAUGGGCGAAAGCCUGAACCAGCGAAGUCGCGUGAGGGAUGAAGGACCUAUGGAUUGUAAGCUUCUUUUAUAUGGGAGUAAAUUGUGGCACGUGUGGUAUUUUGUAUGUACCAUAUGAAUCAGGAUCGGCUAACUCCGUGCCAGCAGCCGCGGUAAUACGGAGGUUGCGAGCGUUGUCCGGACGUAGUGGGCGUAAAGAGUUCGUAGACGGCAUGUAAAGUCAGGUGUUAAAGGCGCAGGCUCAACCUGUGUAUUGCACUUGAGACUGGGAAGCUGGAAUGCGGGAGAGGUAAAGGGAAUUCCUGGUGUAGCGGUGAAAUGCGUAGAUAUCAGGAGGAACACCGGUGGCGAAGGCGGUUUACUGGGCCGUAACUGACGCUGAGGAACGAAAGCGAGGGGAGCAAACGGGAUUAGAUACCCGAGUAGUC